rnacentral:tRNA from 1 species
CGGACCGUGGCCGAACGGAGAGGCAUCGCUCUUCUAAAGCGACUGAUGCAGGUUCGACUCCUGCCGGUUCGA